rnacentral:rRNA from 1 species
AGCGAACGCUGGCGGCAGGCUUAACACAUGCAAGUCGAGCGGGCACUUUCGGGUGUCAGCGGCGGACGGGUGAGUAACGCGUGGGAACGUGCCCUCUGGUUCGGAAUAACUCAGGGAAACUUGAGCUAAUACCGGAUACGCCCUUUUGGGGAAAGGCUUGCUGCCGGAGGAUCGGCCCGCGUCUGAUUAGCUAGUUGGUGAGGUAACGGCUCACCAAGGCGACGAUCAGUAGCUGGUCUGAGAGGAUGAUCAGCCACACUGGGACUGAGACACGGCCCAGACUCCUACGGGAGGGAGCAGUGGGGAAUAUUGGAAAAUGGGCGCAAGCCUGAUCCAGCCAUGCCGCGUGAGUGAUGAAGGCCUUAGGGUUGUAAAGCUCUUUUAUACGGGACGAUAAUGACGGUACCGGAGGAAUAAGCCCCGGCUAACUUCGUG